CGAGGUGCCUGCCUUUGGCAGGGUAACAGACAAGCUGGGUCAAAAGCCCACACGGUCCCGCCGCUGUAGAGGAAGAAUGAUGCUUCAUGAUGUCACUGGGAAACUGGGAAGGCGAAGCAUCGUGUUGAAGCCUGAGUCAGAAGACCUACCCGCUGC
rnacentral:ncRNA from 1 species